ensembl:Y_RNA Y_RNA Y RNA
GGUUGCUCCAAGUGCAGUAGUGUUUACAACUAAUUGAUCACAACCAAUUGCAGAUUUCUUUGUUCCAUCUCCACUCCCACUGUUUCACUUGACUAGCCUAAA